CUUUAGCUUUCAGGGCCCAAGCCUUCUGCUGGCCUCCUUUCUGGAGAAAAGAAGGAAGAGAGGAGGCUGAGGACAUGAAGCUGAGACGCCUGCAGGCUGCAUGCGGAGACCCUCGUGUUGCCAUCUCCUGCAGCAGCAGCGCAGAGUCAGAAGGGCCACCUACUGAGGUGGGGGCGGUGAGGGGCCAACUCCCCUCCCUGGCUCAUGCUCCUCCUGUAUAAUAUUUUGUGGUUGAUGGGAUGGUCCCAGGCUCUGAGACUGAAGUCUUUAUUGGGUUGUGACCACACCCCUUGUGGAUGGCCUGGGGAUUUUCAGCCCAAAGCUGAGCCAAGCCCUUGGAAAAAUCAACACGCACACCUGUUUCUCACAGAUAGUCUUUUUUUCUUUGUAGGUGUGGCUCUUCCAUCUUGAGGUCAUAGAGGAACUGAGGCAGGAGGGAGAGGGACCAGAAUGCCACAGGGAUCACCCAGCCAGCCCGCUCGUAUAGCGGCCACUUUUCAAGAGUGAUUUCUUCGGCUUCUUUCCUUCCACAGGCCCGAGAAACCACCCACACUCCCCUGAUCGGCUGGAACCCAGGGGAGCCGGCCUUAAUCCUGGCCUCCCUGGGGCUCAAAAGAAUCUGGAUCACAACAGGAUGCCAGAGAAGAGGUGGCCAAGAGAACCCAGCGGCGUCGUUCUCAUUACAGGGGCCUCCUCAGCGAAGACCCCUCACUCUCUUCUGGCUUUCCUCUCUGGUUUCCUCACUGACGUCAUAAAAAUUUGUAUUCAUUCAUUCAAUAAAUACUUAUUGAGAACAUGCCCAAAGUACUGGGGUAAUUAAGAGUGGGAGACAAGGAGGCAAAAAUGAGUCAGCUGUGAACUUUGCCUGCGGAAGGCUGAGACCGGCAGAUUCCUGUCCAGGUUCUGAAACUUACUAGUUCUGUGACCUUAGCUACGUCAGCUCACUUUUCUGAUUCCCAGUUUACUUGUCUGAAAAACUAGGAUGAUAAUCACAGAUUGCUGGUGAGAGACUGACUCUACAAAUGGCCAGCGGCCAGACCAGACAUAAAAAUAGAUCUCUGACCCACAAUCUGCAGCAACCAGCCCAGGAAGCCCCGCCAUCCUCUACAACGACCAGCCCAGGAAGC
rnacentral:lncRNA from 10 species